CGCGCGCAGCGUGGGAGGAGGCCAACUCUCGGGGCGCUCCCUAGCCCUGGGUGGGUGGAGCGGGGGAAGCGGAGUACGUUGGACCCGGCUCCGCCCUACCCCACGGGGCCGCCUGGAGAGGUGCUGGGAGCUGGGUGGAGCUUAGAGGAAUUAAACUUUGGCCCUGCGCCUCGUCCAGCCUAGGUUCCACCCUUUUCUGGGAACGUGAGUAUCAACCAAGUUUACACCCCGCCACUCCUGAGCACCGCACACCGGCUUCCUCCCAGUCCCUCAUCUGAGAACUCAUGAAGCCACUUGGAAUCCCUCUCUGCUUUGCCUGGCUCAUUCCAUGUCAAUUUCAGAUCUUCACUUCAGGUCAGCUCCAAGGAGGCUAUCCUUGCCCAUCUUCCUAAAAUAGAGCUCUCAAAACCUGGCUGUUUUCCUUCAGAGCACUGGCCUCCAAUUUAAAUCCCAAGUAAGGUACCUGCCGUCGGCAGAUUUGAGCUUUCUUCUUGGACACCUAAUACCCAGAGUCCUCCAGGCUCCGGUAGAUUGCAAAUGACCUGCUUUCUUUCUGUUCCCGGGCGGCAUCGGACCCGUCGGAGAGUAAAUCCCAAGUAAGGUACCUGCCGUUGGCAGAUUUGAGCUUUCUUCUUGGACACCUAAUACCCACAGUCCUCCAGGCUCCGGUAGAUUGCAAAUGACCUGCUUUCUUUCUGUUCCCGGGUGGCAUCGACCCGUCGGAGAGUAAAUCCCAAGUAAGGUACCUGCCGUUGGCAGAUUUGAGCUUUCUUCUUGGACACCUAAUACCCACAGUCCUCCAGUAAAUCCCAAGCAAGGUACCUGCCGUCAGCAGAUUUGAGCUUUCUUCUUGGACACCUAAUACCCACAGUCCUCCAGGCUCCGGUAGAUUGCAAAUGACCUGCUUUCUUUCUGUUCCCGGGCUGCGUUCGGACCCCUGUCGGAUAGUAACUCCCAAGUAAGGUACCUGCCGUCGGCAGAUUGGAGCUUUCUUCUUGGAGACCUAAUACCCACAGUCCUCCAGGCUCCGGUAGAUUGCAAAUGACCUGCUUUCUUUCUGUUCCCGGGCUGCGUUCGGACCCCUGUCGGAGAGUAAAUCCGAAGUAAGGUAGCUGCCGUCGGCAGAUUUGAGCUUUUUUCUUGGACACCUAAUACCCACAGUCCUCCAGAUGGGUCCUAAGGUUCUUAGGAUCCGCAAUGGGGGUCCUAAGCCAGGGGGUGAUGAGGGGCUGGCUCUCAGUCCCUGCCUCGUGGGGGGUGCCUCCCCCUCCUGCGAUGGUGGUCCUAAGAGCCAGAGGGGGAAGAGGGGUGCACACCCAGUUCAUGAUCAGGUCCCAAAAUCAAAUGUCCAGUUUUUAGCUAGGACCCAGUAAGAAGAGCUAUUUUUCAAAGAGAGAAAAGUUAUUUGCAAAAGAUAACAUGGAUUUGCUGCAAACCGCCAGGGGUCUGCACUGUGAUUCUCCUUUCAGGGCUGGUUGAAGGCUCCAUACAGUAUCUCUAUCUGCCUUGGACACUUCAGGCAUAUGUGCCAUAUAUGACAGAACAUCUUGCACAACAGUCUGAAUUUGCUGCAACCCUUCUCUUGCUCUGGGCCCCACUCAAAACCGGCAGACUUACAAAUUCCUUCGUAAAUGGGCCAGGGCAGCAUGGUAAAAUGUGCUGUAUAUUACCUCCUAAAACACCCGUCAAGUAUUUUUUUUUAACUCUUUCCUAGCAUAGGAGUACAUGAUGCAGCAAUUUGUUUUCAUUUGAAGGAGAUAACCAACAUGCCUCAGGCCACUGAACUCCUAGAAAUGUCACAUGCUCAACAUAUUAUCCAUAUAAUGGACUAGUUCUGCAUUUUAUGGGAUGUUGUGAUUAUCAAGACCCCUGAAGCCUUGCUUAUGACAGAACAGGAGAGUUGCCAUAGACCUGAGCUCAAAUCGUGAAGAUGUACUGCUGUCCCUGCCAUGUGAAAGCAAACACCUUCCAAAAGUGCCUGUAACCAAUACAGCAGGAAAAAAAGUAUAUUUUACAUAAAUAGCUGCAUCCCACAUGUCAAAAGCCAUUUUGAUUUACUCUAGUAAGAAUAACAUAUUUGAAACAGCAGCAGCAAUCAAUUAAAUAUUGAUAAUAAGCAAUGGAGAGAUAACAGGAAAUCACGUAGAAUAUAUCAUUGUUUGCCAAAUAUUCUGGCUCCUUUCCUACUGAGGAAUCAUACUUCCUUAACUGCAGUCUUGUCCACGUGACUUGCAAAUGAAAUGUGAACAAAAGUGACAUGCGUCACCUUUAGACAGAAGAUCUAAGAGCUGAUGUGUGCUUUGUUAUGAUGUAUUUUCCCUCUGCCAUAAGACUAAGCAAUGUUCCAAACAGAGGCUGAUCCACAGCCUCCAUCUGGAGUGAAGAUAAAAUGGAAAAGAGCUUCAGUCAAGCUGCAGUGGACACAUAGCAAGAAUAAGAAGUUAACUUUUGUUGGCCAGGCGUGGUGGCUCACGCCUGCAAUCCCAACACUUUGGGAGGCCAAGGCGGGAGGAUCACUUGAGGUCAGGAGUUCGAGACCAGCCUGGCCAACAUGGUAAAACACUGUCUCUACUAAAAAUACAAAAAUUAGCCAGGUGUGGUGGGGGGCACCUGUAAUCCCAGCUAUUCAGGAGGCCAAGGCUGGAGAAUCGCUUUUACUUGGGAGUCGGAGGUUGCAGUGAGCCGAGAUCAUGCCACUGCACCCCAGCCUGGGCAACAGAGCGACACUUUUGUUGUCUGCCACUGGGAUUUUUGAUGACACUACCAAAGCCUAAAAUAGCCUGACCCAACAUAUACAGUCUCAGAGAUUAGCAACAGUUGAGAGUCAGUGUUCAGCGAUCCUGAAACAGUCCCAAGUAUUUUCCUCUCCCAUGACAAUGGCCAUGGGUCUCUUAGGGCUUGAAGAAUGAUUUUUAGUAUAUAUUGCAGCAAUGUCAGUGGGCUCCAGGUCUGCAAAAUUGUUCAGCUCCCAGAACUGGGGGAAGGGCCAUGACUAUUAUGGUGAUCCAAAUUAGAAUUCUACUUACCUGAUAAUUUCUAAUUAUGUAGAUCAACAUAUAUUUUAGUAGGCUAUUUUAUUCCUAGAGAUACUACCAAAGACCCUCACAAGUCAAAAACAUUCAUUUUACCACUGUGGCCCUGCUGCCCAUGAAAGUAACUGUGCCCACUGUGUCUCUGGUGUUAAACACUGUCACUUGGUCUCUGAAAUAAGGAAGGCAAUUUAAAGAGUAGCAUUUCUUAUUGUCACCCCCAGCAGGCAGAGGAUACCCGCUACAAAGCUCCUAAAGGGAAAUGGAGCUCUCCUCCGCACAUUUUUUUUUUGUAAGAGAAGGUCUUACUCUGUCACGCAGGCUGGAGUGCACUGUCAUGAUGACAGCUCACUGUGGCCUUGACCUCCUGGGCUCAAGCCAUCCUUCCACUUCAACCUCCUGAGUAGCUGGGACUAGAGGCAUGCACCACCAUGCCUGGCUAAUUUUUUAAUUUUUUAUAGAGAUGGGGUCUCCCUACAUUGCCCAGGCUGGUCUCAAACUCUUAGGCUCAAGUGAUACUCUCGCCUUGGCCUCCCAAAGUGCUGGGAUUACAGGCCUGAGCCACCACACCCAGCCUGCACAUUUCUUAAAACCUCAUUAAAGGGAGUGUCCUCUGGGCCCUGAGGGACACAGUCAAGGGAUGAAUUUUUUUUAUAAUCUUAGUGUGAAGGUCCACAUAUGAUGCAAAAUAACAAUGGCUGCAUGAACGUGAUCCCAACUUGUUCCCACAAGGGUCAGGUGGCUAACUUCAUAGGAUAUUCUACCUGGCUCUGUCUGCCCUCCUACCUAGUGGUGAACAGAGUGCUGGCAAAUGUUUAACAACCAGAUCUCCAGAGCAAAAACAAAACAAAGGCCUGAUUUGUAGCAUCUGUCAGUAUCUGCAGUAUAAGCACUCCCAUUGUGUCCAGAAUUUAUUUCUUCUGGUGGAUUCUUGGUCUCACUGACUUCAAGAAUGAAGCCAGCCGGGCGCGGUGGCUCACGCCUGUAAUCCCAGCACUUUGGGAGGCUGAGGCGGGUGGAUCACGAGGUCAGAAGAUCGAGACCAUCCUGGCUAACACGGUGAAACCCCGUCUCUACUAAAAAUACAAAAAAUUAGCUGGGCGCCUGUAGUCCCAGCUACUAGGGAGGCUGAGGCAGGAGAAUGGCGUGAAUCCGGGAGGCGGAGGUUGCAGUGAGCUGAGAUCAGGCCACUGCAUUCCAGCCUGGGCAACAGAGCAAGACUCCAUCUCAAAGAAAAAAAGAAUAAAGCCACGGACCUCGCAGUGAGUGUUACAGUUCUUAAAGGUGGCGUGUCUGCAGUCGUUUGUUCCUCUCUGUGGGUUGGUGGUCUGGCUGACUAAGGAAAUGAAGCCGCAGGCCCUGGCAGUGAAUGCUACAGCUCUUCAAGUUGGUGCGGACCGAAAGACUGAGCAGCAGCAAGAUUUAUUAAUUAAGAGCGAAAGAACAAAGAUCUCCGGGCGUUGAAGUGGACCCUAGCGGGUUGCUGCUGCUGGCUCAGGUGGCCAGCUUUUAUUCCCUUAUUUGGCCCCCAUCCAUGUCCUGCUGAUUGGUCCAUUUUACAGUGUGCUGAUUGGUCCAUUUUACAGAGUGCUGACUGGUCCAUUUUUACAGAAUGCUGAUUGGCGCAUUUACAAUCCUCUAGCUAGACAUAGAGCGCUGAUUGGUGCAUUUACAAUCCUCUAGCUAGACAGAAAGUUCUCCAAGUCCCCACCCAACCCAGAAGCCCAGUUGGCUUCACCUCUCACCAUCAUGGCCAAUAUCAAGCUAUCAACAAUGUCAACGUGCAGCUGGGAAGAUGUGCAAUAGCACAUUUUACAGUAUUUCUACCAGACAGAUACAACAGACAGAAAUAACCUCAAGAGCACAGACACUAGUGAAUAAUUAGGAAGUGGUGAAGUUUAUUUGCCUUUGUCUUUAAUAUAAUCUAUUUAACUAUGUUUAUAUAACUUAAUUGUUAAUAAUGUCUGUAAUAACCGGCCCACAAAUUUCCUGAAAGUGUGACAAUCUGCUCUCAUACGCUGCUGG
rnacentral:lncRNA from 10 species